rnacentral:sRNA from 1 species
CCAGGUUGAUAAGGCCGUCAGCGGCAAACUACCCGAGGUCCAUGGUUUCUCGAAGGAGAAACAGGAGCAGCUUCUGGGAGCCUUCAAGGCCCUCGUUUCCCAGCUUGCCCCCUUGGCCAAGAACGGCCUGAAGGACAUUGCCCCCAAACUUGAUGCACUUAACAUCCCAGUUCAGGGCCUUACCACUCGUGAUCCUCUCCUUGAGAGCCUCCCAAUCGUUGGCGGCCUCCUCAAUGGCGGCACUAGUAGCAUCCUCAGCGUUGUCGCUGGCCCCCUCAGCAUCCUCACCCAGGUUCUCGGUAUGACCGGAGUCGCACCACUUCUUGGGCCCGUCCUCUCCACCAUCAGCGGACUUGGCCUUCCUCUUUAAAGUCCCUAGGUUUUAUCUAUUGCGCUGAAUAACGUCACUUCCGGCAGGAGAUUUCACCAUUCUAGCAGAACCAUGAUCCCCGCGACACGCUUCGGCUGGCAAUGGCUUCGACCAGGAGAAAGAAACCCCACAAGAGACUCUUCAUUAUCCCCAUCCAUUUCCAUCUUUAAUUAUUUUCUUUUCAUACCCGCCUCUUUUUCCCUCUCCCGGGAGGAGACUUAGAUAUCUAUUUUUUGUGUGAAUUAAUCGUGGAACUAACUGGUUUUGGCGGCUAAUGAAACAAGGUUUUUUUUAAUUCCAUUUAUACUGAUACUUGUAUUUGUGCUAUAUAUAACGCAU